rnacentral:rRNA from 1 species
CCUACGGGUGGCAGCAGUGGGGAAUAUUGCACAAUGGGGGAAACCCUGAUGCAGCAACGCCGCGUGAGUGAAGAAGGUUUUCGGAUUGUAAAGCUCUGUUAGCAGGGAAGAGGAAGGACGGUACCUGCAGAGGAAGCCACGGCUAACUACGUGCCAGCAGCCGCGGUAAUACGUAGGUGGCAAGCGUUGUUCGGAAUAACUGGGCGUAAAGGAUGCGUAGGCGGUUAAACAAGUUAUAUGUUAAAUAUAUAGGCUUAACCUGUAGAAAGCAUAUAAAACUGUUUAACUAGAGUGCAGGAGAGGUAAGUGGAAUUCCUAGUGUAGCGGUGAAAUGCUUAGAGAUCAUACAGAACACCGAUUGCGAAGGCAGCUUACCAAUCUAUAUCUGACGUUGAGGCACGAAAGCGUGGGGAGCAAACAGGAUUAGAUACCCGUGUAGUC